rnacentral:rRNA from 1 species
GGUACCGUCAAGUCCCACGGGUAUUAACCGUAGGAUUUUCCUCCCAAUCUGACAGAGCUUUACAACCCAUAGGGCCUUCUUCACUCACGCGGCAUCGCUCGGUCAGGCUUUCGCCCAUUGCCGAAGCUUCUCG